rnacentral:rRNA from 1 species
CCUACGGGAGGCAGCAGUGGGGAAUAUUGGACAAUGGGCGAAAGCCUGAUCCAGCCAUGCCGCGUGUGUGAAGAAGGCCUUCGGGUUGUAAAGCACUUUCAGUGGGGAAGAAAGCCUUGGGGCUAAUACCCUCGAGGAAGGACAUCACCCACAGAAGAAGCACCGGCUAACUCCGUGCCAGCAGCCGCGGUAAUACGGAGGGUGCGUGCGUUAAUCGGAAUUACUGGGCGUAAAGCGCGCGUAGGCGGUCUGAUAAGCCGGUUGUGAAAGCCCCGGGCUCAACCUGGGAACGGCAUCCGGAACUGUCAGGCUAGAGUGCAGGAGAGGAAGGUAGAAUUCCCGGUGUAGCAGUGAAAUGCGUAGAGAUCGGGAGGAAUACCAGUGGCGAAGGCGGCCUUCUGGACUGACACUGACGCUGAGGUGCGAAAGCGUGGGUAGCAAACAGGAUUAGAUACCCCUGUAGUC